rnacentral:lncRNA from 1 species
UUUCUUUUUCUCUUAUAUUUUGGUUGAAAGCUUAAAAAUGAAAGCUCCUAUGUCAGAUGGUAAGUUCUCAUAAAAUACCAGCAUCUUCUUAUUUUCUUUUAAAGAUAUUUAAAAAUAAUGUUAAUAUAUUAUGUCAUACAUGUUACUGGUAUCUGUUUGAAAAACAUGGAUCUAGUUUAUGUUCUUGUAUAUUCUGAAUAUAUUUUUACGUAUGUUUUUAUUUUUUGUUUUUUUAAGAUAAUUAAAAAAUAAUGUUAAAUUAUAUGAAACCUGAUUUUAUAUUAAUAUAUUAUGUCAUAGAAGGUUACUGGUAUCUGUUUGAAAACAUGGAUAUACUUUAUGUACUUCUAUAUUAUGAAUAUAUUUUUACAUACGCAGUCACUUAUAAGAUUGUUUUAGUAAACAUUAUGUUUACUUUUAACAAUUUUUUUGACAUAUAUAUCGAACUACAUUAACAAAUCACUUCGAUUAUUCAUCUUAGAAAAGAAAUUUAGAAGUUAAAAUUUUGUAGACAUUAUGUUAGUUUAUACAAUGAGUUGUAGCAGAAAGAUUUUAUUCACAAAUUAUAUUUCCUAUUAUUUAAUCUUCUGUUAUUUUGCUAUCAGGUAUGAAGAGAUCCAACAAAUGCAUGCCGUUUUAUCUUUCACAACAAAAACAUUACAGGUUAGCGUAUAAAAACAUUACAGGUUAGCAUCAAAUUUCAUUAUGUGUAUUCAAAAGUUUGAUAUGAAAAAGAUAAAUACUGUUAUACCUAAAUUAUAGGUAAACUAUAGUAAAGAACAAUUUGAACAGACAUAUUUUCAAUCAUAUCAAUGAUUUAAAUUUAAAGAAAUUUUGAGUAUAUAUUUUUUACUUUUGUAAUCAUAUCAUAAAAUUUUGACAUUUCGAGGAUAUUUUAUUUUUAUUUUUACUGUUAGCAGAUAACUUGUAAUAAUAUUUCAGCUUUAAAUAAUUUCAUAGAAAAUUAUUUUUAAUUCAAAAUUGUGAACUGAAUAAAUUGUUUUGGGUAAUUAGUAUAUUAAGUUGCAAGGAUUAGUUGAUUGAUUUGACAGUUUACUUUAUUUUCAUUUUUCCACAUACAAAAUUUUAUUACUUAGAUGAAACUAAAUCAUAUCCAUAAGAAAUAAUAUUUCCUAUAUUUGAUGUGAUUUUACAAACAGGUAAGAAGAGUCCCCAAGAAGUGUAUGGAUGUAUGUUAUCUCAAUGCAUCAAAAUCAACCAUCCCAUCUUUCACAGCAAAAAAACAUUACAACUUUAUUCAGCAGCUCGAAUUGAAAUAACUUUGUAGCACUUUUUUUAAGGUGUGAUGCCACUUUUAACCUUCUGCAUAAUUCGCAUGGAGACAGCAAAAACAUGCAUUGGUACAACUUUAAUCGAAGCAUCAGAAUUUGGCCAUCUGACAGAUGCUUUCUUUGUUGGCUUUCUUAAUAAACUUGUUGCCAAAUUCAG